UGGCGGACGGGUGAGUAAUGUCUGGGAAACUGCCCGAUGGAGGGGGAUAACUACUGGAAACGGUAGCUAAUACCGCAUAACGUCGCAAGACCAAAGAGGGGGACCUUCGGGCCUCUUGCCAUCGGAUGUGCCCAGAUGGGAUUGGCUAGUAGGUGGGGUAACGGCUCACCUAGGCGACGAUCCCUAGCUGGUCUGAGAGGAUGACCAGCCACACUGGAACUGAGACACGGUCCAG
rnacentral:rRNA from 1 species